rnacentral:rRNA from 1 species
UGCCAGCAGCCGCGGUAAUACGUAGGGACCAAGCGUUGUUCGGAUUUACUGGGCGUAAAGGGUGCGUAGGCGGCGUGAUAAGCCAAUUGUGAAAUCUCCGGGCUUAACCUGGGAAUUGCAUUCGAUACUGCUGAGCUAGAGUAUGGGAGAGGGAAGUGGAAUUUCCGGUGUAGCGGUGAAAUGCGUAGAUAUCGGAAGGAACACCAGUGGCGAAGGCGACUUCCUGGCCCAAUACUGACGCUGAGAUGCGAAAGCGUGGGGAGCGAACAGGAUUAGAUA